rnacentral:rRNA from 1 species
UACGUAGGGGGCGAGCGUUGUCCGGAUUCACUGGGCGUAAAGCGCUCGUAGGCGGUUGGUAAGUCGGGUGUGAAACCUCCAGGCUCAACCUGGAGCCGCCACUCGAUACUGCCAUGACUAGAGUCCGGUAGGGGACCAUGGAAUUCCUGGUGUAACGGUGAAAUGCGCAGAUAUCAGGAGGAACACCAGUAGCGAAGGCGGUGGUCUGGGCCGGUACUGACGCUGAUGAGCGAAAGCGUGGGGAGCGAACAGG